GAUGAGAGGUUGGUGAGGAUUAUUGCGCUAGGCCUUAAUGCAUGGGCCUGACCUCUCCUCCUGCGUCUGUUUAAUGUUGGUGUUUACUCUUGGUUCUACGGACACAAUCCUUGUUAGAAUCAAGCUGCCUUACUCAUUGAGUGUUCUAUCCCGUGCACCGACGAAGUACUCAAACAUUACGGUCAUGUAGUCUUAGCCAUCACACCAGGCUUUUUCGUAGUUCCACACAGGGGUUUAGGUCUCACCCCGCUCGCUUAUUUACAUAUUGCUAACCAUAACCUUCCAUUGCAGUGCAUGAGUGGGAACUGCAGGCCAUACACCGACCGCAAUGCUAAAGCAGACCGGUUUCCAGAGCCAGUUGUCUUUUUUCAGAAAAAUCUGCAGAAUUGUUUAAACCAUCUGCUAAUAGCCCAAACAUCUAAUUACAGGUGCAAAAGCUUUCUGUACCGCUAUUUCUCGUAUUCUUUACUGACGAUCGUUACAGCUGUUUUCCGAAGGACUACACUUAAGUAAACAGAGCGAGCUCCUGGAUGUAUGUGCCGCGACGAGAGCUCUUCAAAGACAGAGAGGACGUCUGCUUUGUACCCAGCAUGGGGGUGAGGCAGAGCGGCGCCCUGGGGAAGUAGACCAGGGGAUACGCGUCAUUUUGCCGGGGACACGGACACACCCCAGGUGAAACCUUCACGGGAGACUAGCAGCAUUCCGUGUGAGAGUUACACCGCGUGGUUCAUGCCAGAGGGAGAUUCCUUUCAAACGACCUUACUGGUGUCAAAGUUCAGACGGGGACGUGACAGUGUGCGGUGGUCCACCAUCAAGCCUUUGAUCUCUCCUUUGGCUUUUGAUUGUUCAAUCA